GAUGAACGCUGGCGGCGUGCCUAAUACAUGCAAGUCGAGCGAACGGACGAGAAGCUUGCUCUUCUGAUGUUAGCGGCGGACGGGUGAGUAACACGUGGAUAACCUACCUAUAAGACUGGGAUAACUUCGGGAAACCGGAGCUAAUACCGGAUAAUAUUUUGAACCGCAUGGUUCAAAAGUGAAAGACGGUCUUGCUGUCACUUAUAGAUGGAUCCGCGCUGCAUUAGCUAGUUGGUAAGGUAACGGCUUACCAAGGCAACGAUGCAUAGCCGACCUGAGAGGGUGAUCGGCCACACUGGAACUGAGACACGGUCCAGACUCCUACGGGAGGCAGCAGUAGGGAAUCUUCCGCAAUGGGCGAAAGCCUGACGGAGCAACGCCGCGUGAGUGAUGAAGGUCUUCGGAUCGUAAAGCUCUGUUAUUAGGGAAGAACAUAUGUGUAAGUAACUGUGCACAUCUUGACGGUACCUAAUCAGAAAGCCACGGCUAACUACGUG
rnacentral:rRNA from 1 species